rnacentral:rRNA from 1 species
AAGGAAGAUAAUGACGGUACUUGAGGAGGAAGCCCCGGCUAACUACGUGCCAGCAGCCGCGGUAAUACGUAGGGGGCUAGCGUUAUCCGGAUUUACUGGGCGUAAAGGGUGCGUAGGCGGUCUUUCACGUCAGGAGUGAAAGGCUACGGCUCAACCGUAGUAAGCUCUUGAAACUGGGAGACUUGAGUGCAGGAGAGGAGAGUGGAAUUCCUAGUGUAGCGGUGAAAUGCGUAGAUAUUAGGAGGAACACCAGUU